rnacentral:rRNA from 1 species
AAUGUUAACACUGCCGUGCAUAUAAUAACUCGCAAUCGGCUGUAUAAAUAAUGGGGGUAUGAGUAAUAUAUUGUGAAUAAAUAAUUUAGAUUGACACGCACAAAUAAAGAACUCGGCUAAAACUUUACGACUGUUUAUCAAAAACAUAUUCUUUCGUAGUGAUGAAAGAUGUAGCCUGCCCAGUGAUUUUAAACGGCUUAAAGGUAGCGUACUCAUUUGUCCUUUAAUUGGGGACUAGUAUGAAAGGCUGAACGAUAUAGUUACUGUUUCAUUUGUGUGAAAUAAAAUUGCUUAUACGUGAAAAUGCGUAUAUUCGACGGGAGGACGAGAAGACCCUGUAGAGCUUAAACAAUAUGUUAAAUAAUGUUUUUUAUUGGGGCAAUACCAGUUAGAGAAUCUGGCGUGAAAAUGCUAUAUUGAAAUCCCUUAAAGGAAAUAAGAAAGUUACCUCAGGGAUAACAGCGUAAUUCUUUCAGAGAGAUCUAAUCAAAGAAAGAGAUUGCGACCUCGAUGUUGGACUAAGACAACUCUUAGGUAUAGAAGCCUUUGAAAGUGAGCCUGUUCGGCUUAAAGUCUUACAUGAUCUGAGUUCAGGCCGGCGAGAGCUAGGUUGGUUUCUAUCCUACGUUUUUUAACUUUGGCAUAUUACGAAAGGAAACGCUAAAGUGUA